rnacentral:rRNA from 1 species
UACGUAGGGGGCAAGCGUUGUCCGGAAUCAUUGGGCGUAAAGAGCGUGUAGGCGGCCCGGUAAGUCCGCUGUGAAAGUCGGGGGCUCAACCCUCGAAUGCCGGUGGAUACUGUCGGGCUAGAGUGCGGAAGAGGCGAGUGGAAUUCCUGGUGUGGCGGUGAAAUGCGCAGAUAUCAGGAGGAACACCGAUUGCGAAGGCAGCUCGCUGGGACGUAACUGACGCUGAGACGCGAAAGCGUGGGGAGCAAACAGG